rnacentral:misc_RNA from 1 species
GAAAUGCGAUAAGUAGUGUGAAUUGCAGAAUUCCGUGAAUCAUCGAAUCUUUGAACGCACAUUGCGCCUCCCGGUACUCCGGGGGGCAUGCCUGUCCGAGCGUCAUCAUAACCCUCUAGCUCAGCUUGGUGUUGGGCCCCGCCGCCCCGGCGGGCCCUAAAGUCAGUGGCGGUGCCGUCCGGCUCCGAGCGUAGUAAUUCUUCUCGCUCUGGAGGUCCGGUCGUGUGCUUGCCAGCAACCCCCAAUUUUUUUCAGGUUGACCUCAAAUCAGGUAGGAAUACCCGCUGAACUUAA